GGUACUCGAGUGGCGAACGGGUGAGUAACACGUGGGUGAUCUGCCCUGCACUCUGGGAUAAGCCUGGGAAACUGGGUCUAAUACCGGAUAGGACCGCACACUUCAUGGUGAGUGGUGCAAAGCUUUUGCGGUGUGGGAUGAGCCCGCGGCCUAUCAGCUUGUUGGUGGGGUAAUGGCCCACCAAGGCGACGACGGGUAGCCGGCCUGAGAGGGUGACCGGCCACACUGGGACUGAGAUACGGCCCAGACUCCUACGGGAGGCAGCAGUGGGGAAUAUUGCACAAUGGGCGCAAGCCUGAUGCAGCGACGCCGCGUGAGGGAUGACGGCCUUCGGGUUGUAAACCUCUUUCAGUAGGGACGAAGCGAAAGUGACGGUACCUACAGAAGAAGGACCGGCCAACUACGUGCCAGCAGCCGCGGUAAUACGUAGGGUCCGAGCGUUGUCCGGAAUUACUGGGCGUAAAGAGCUCGUAGGUGGUUUGUCGCGUUGUUCGUGAAAACUCACAGCUUAACUGUGGGCGUGCGGGCGAUACGGGCAGACUAGAGUACUGCAGGGGAGACUGGAAUUCCUGGUGUAGCGGUGGAAUGCGCAGAUAUCAGGAGGAACACCGGUGGCGAAGGCGGGUCUCUGGGCAGUAACUGACGCUGAGGAGCGAAAGCGUGGGUAGCGAACAGGAUUAGAUACCCUGGUAGUCCACGCCGUAAACGGUGGGUACUAGGUGUGG
rnacentral:rRNA from 1 species